rnacentral:rRNA from 1 species
GGUUAAGCGAAUAAGCGUACACGGUGGAUGCCCUGGCAGUCAGAGGCGAUGAAGGACGUGCUAAUCUGCGAUAAGCGUCGGUAAGGUGAUAUGAACCGUUAUAGCCGACGAUUUCCGAAUGGGGAAACCCGGUGCACUCAGUGCAUCAUCGCAACAUGAAUACAUAGUGUUGCGAAGCGAACCGGGGGAACUGAAACAUCUAAGUACCCCGAGGAAAAGAAAUCAACCGAGAUUCCCCCAGUAGCGGCGAGCGAACGGGGAGGAGCCCGGAACCAUCAUCAGUGUGUGUAUUAAUGGAAGCGUCCGGAAUGUCGCACGAUACAGGGUGAAAGUCCCGUACAUGAAAAUACACACAUUGUGAGUUCGAAGAGUAGGGCGGGACACGUGGUAUCCUGUCUGAAUAUGGGGGGACCAUCCUCCAAGGCUAAAUACUCCUGACUGACCGAUAGUGAACCAGUACCGUGAGGGAAAGGCGAAAAGAACCCCGGCGAGGGGAGUGAAAAGAACCUGAAACCGUGUACGUACAAGCAGUGGGAGCACCUUUUAUGGUGUGACUGCGUACCUUUUGUAUAAUGGGUCAGCGACUUAUAUUCUGUAGCAAGGUUAACCGAAUAGGGGAGCCGAAGGGAAACCGAGUCUUAACUGGGCGUUAAGUUGCAGGGUAUAGACCCGAAACCCGGUGAUCUAGCCAUGGGCAGGUUGAAGGUUGGGUAACACUAACUGGAGGACCGAACCGACUAAUGUUGAAAAAUUAGCGGAUGACCUGUGGCUGGGGGUGAAAGGCCAAUCAAACCGGGAGAUAGCUGGUUCUCCCCGAAAGCUAUUUAGGUAGCGCCUCGUGAAUUCAUCUCCGGGGGUAGAGCACUGUUUCGGCUAGGGGGCCAUCCCGGCUUACCAACCCGAUGCAAACUGCGAAUACCGGAGAAUGUUAUCACGGGAGACACACGGCGGGUGCUAACGUCCGUCGUGAAGAGGGAAACAACCCAGACCGCCAGCUAAGGUCCCAAAGUCACAGUUAAGUGGGAAACGAUGUGGGAAGGCUCAGACAGCCAGGAUGUUGGCUUAGAAGCAGCCAUCAUUUAAAGAAAGCGUAAUAGCUCACUGGUCGAGUCGGCCUGCGCGGAAGAUGUAACGGGGCUAAACUGUGCACCGAAGCUGCGGCAGCGACACUAUGUGUUGUUGGGUAGGGGAGCGUUCUGUAAGCCGUUGAAGGUGGUCUGUGAGGGCUGCUGGAGGUAUCAGAAGUGCGAAUGCUGACAUGAGUAACGAUAAAGCGGGUGAAAAGCCCGCUCGCCGGAAGACCAAGGGUUCCUGUCCAACGUUAAUCGGGGCAGGGUGAGUCGACCCCUAAGGCGAGGCUGAAAAGCGUAGUCGAUGGGAAACAGGUUAAUAUUCCUGUACUUGGUGUUACUGCGAAGGGGGGACGGAGAAGGCUAUGUCAUCCGGGCGACGGUUGUCCCGGUUUAAGCGUGUAGGCUGAGAUUCCAGGCAAAUCCGGAAUUUCACNNNNNNNNNNNNNNNNNNNNNNNNNNNNNNNNNNNNNNNNNNNNNNNNNNNNNNNNNNNNNNNNNNNNNNNNNNNNNNNNNNNNNNNNNNNNNNNNNACUGAAGUGACAAAUGCCCUGCUUCCGGGAAAAGCCUCUAAGCUCCAGGUAACACGAAAUCGUACCCCAAACCGACACAGGUGGUCAGGUAGAGAAUACCAAGGCGCUUGAGAGAACUCGGGUGAAGGAACUAGGCAAAAUGGUGCCGUAACUUCGGGAGAAGGCACGCUGGCGCGUAGGUGAAGGGACUUGCUCCCGGAGCUGAAGCCAGUCGAAGAUACCAGCUGGCUGCAACUGUUUAUUAAAAACACAGCACUGUGCAAACACGAAAGUGGACGUAUACGGUGUGACGCCUGCCCGGUGCCGGAAGGUUAAUUGAUGGGGUUAUCCGCAAGGAGAAGCUCUUGAUCGAAGCCCCGGUAAACGGCGGCCGUAACUAUAACGGUCCUAAGGUAGCGAAAUUCCUUGUCGGGUAAGUUCCGACCUGCACGAAUGGCGUAAUGAUGGCCAGGCUGUCUCCACCCGAGACUCAGUGAAAUUGAAAUCGCUGUGAAGAUGCAGUGUACCCGCGGCAAGACGGAAAGACCCCGUGAACCUUUACUAUAGCUUGACACUGACUAUUGAGCCUUGAUGUGCAGGAUAGGUGGGAGGCUUUGAAGUACGGACGCCAGUUCGUACGGAGCCAACCUUGAAAUACCACCCUUUAAUGUUUGAUAGUCUAACGUAGACCCGUAAUCCGGGUUGCGGACAGUGUCUGGUGGGUAGUUUGACUGGGGCGGUCUCCUCCCAAAGAGUAACGGAGGAGCACGAAGGUUAGCUAAUCACGGUCGGACAUCGUGAGGUUAGUGCAAAGGCAUAAGCUAGCUUGACUGCGAGAGUGACGGUUCGAGCAGGUGCGAAAGCAGGUCUUAGUGAUCCGGUGGUUCUGAAUGGAAGGGCCAUCGCUCAACGGAUAAAAGGUACUCCGGGGAUAACAGGCUGAUACCGCCCAAGAGUUCAUAUCGACGGCGGUGUUUGGCACCUCGAUGUCGGCUCAUCACAUCCUGGGGCUGAAGUAGGUCCCAAGGGUACGGCUGUUCGCCGUUUAAAGUGGUACGCGAGCUGGGUUUAGAACGUCGUGAGACAGUUCGGUCCCUAUCUGCCGUGGGCGCUGGAGAAUUGAGGGGGGUUGCUCCUAGUACGAGAGGACCGGAGUGAACGCACCACUGGUGUUCGGGUUGUCAUGCCAAUGGCAUUGCCCGGUAGCUAAGUGCGGAAAAGAUAAGUGCUGAAAGCAUCUAAGCACGAAACUUGCCCCGAGAUGAGUUCUCCCUGACUCCUUGAGAGUCCUGAAGGGACGUUGAAGACUACGACGUUGAUAGGCCGGAUGUGUAAGUGCAGCGAUGCAUUGAGCUAACCGGUACUAAUGACCCGUGAGGCUUAACCUU